GCGCGGUUAGUAUAGUGGUUAGUAUUCUCGCUUCCCAAGAAAUUCUCUCUUGUUAGCGAGGGACCCGAGUUCGAACCUCGGAUCGCGCA